rnacentral:lncRNA from 1 species
AGAAAGCAAAGAAGACUGAAAAAAAAUUGGGAAGGAGGCAUUGGAAUAGGCUUGCAUGCUGAAGGGAAUGAUUCAUUUGAAGGGAGAAACAAGUGCAGACUGAAAGACAGCAAUUGCUGAAGCAAUAUACACAAGUAAGCUGGAAAGGAUGCAAUCUAACGCAGUGGAGAAGGGUUGGCUUCCGCUGAAGAGUUCAUCUGUGAUAAGAGGAGAGAGAACGAAGCAUGUGCUUAGCAAUAAAGGUUACAUAUAUUUGGGAUUUGUAAUUCUUUGUCCUCCAAGAGUUUGGAGAAGCUUGAGUUAAAUGAACAUUUUGUUUUCAUAAAUAUCCAAUGCAGUGAGGGGAAAAUACAAGCUGUUCUGGAGCGGUUGAAAGAAAGCAGAGAAUGUGGAGGAACAGAAGAAAACUAAUGCAAAGUCUUCACUGUAGUUUUGGAUGAGGACUACUGCUCAAGCACGACAAUUCUUAUGCCUCCACUGAAGACCCUGGGUGUUCAACACUGUUUCUGCACUCUCAUGGAUUGUAAAUCAAGCAUCUCCCAUCCUACAUGUCUUCUGAUAAUUUUUCAGAUAUUAGCUCCCAAAUAGUUGUUCUUACACAGCCAGUUGUUCUUACACAGCCAGUUCUUCUUAUUGGUCAGAUAUCCAAAGAAUCAAGUUGGCCCUAUGCAGAUAGCAGGGAACCUGUAUGCUGGGCAGUUCUCUCCCUUCUGGUACUCUGCCUCAGUCUCUUGGAAUUUCAAUUGGUAGGUUGAAGAUCUCAGUAUUCUGCUUGAGUGGCUCCUUCUUUUGCCACAAUUCAGAAAGUGUCCCACAAAGAGAGAGCUGAGGAAAAUCAUACCGUGUGUCUCAUUUGUUUUCCUUCUUUCAGGGAUAAUAUUUCUCAGCUUCCAGUUGCCAAAAUUGUAAAAACAGACUUGUUUUAUAUAUACAUCUUGCCCAAUUUUUCUACUUCAUUCUAGUUCUGGGCCAUUUCUGGUACCAGUUUCUCUGCCACAGCCAGAUGUGAAAGAAGAAACUUAAUUUAUGAUGGAUUAAAACAUACAUAUAAGUGUCUGUUUUCUUCACAAUUCCAUUCUGUUGCAUUUGUAUGCAUUAAUUUCAGAAAUUUGUUUGCUCACUGUUUAGUCACUGUUUAACAUCUCACUUAUUCACAUUCAUAUUUACAUUCAUAUUCAUGUUCAUUCUUUUAAAAGCUUUUUUUUUUCUUUUGUGCCUUCAUUCACUUUUUCAGGCACAUAAACAUACAGUCUAAGUACUUUGCUAAACUUAGCAAAGAGAAACUUCAAAACUUAAUGUAAUUUUCACAUCAUGCUUGAAGUGAUUAGCCAGCUUUCCAGGUAGGUUGUCAUAACCUACACUCAGGCUAGCCAGCAGCAGAUUUUUAACUUCAGGGAUAAAACCUAGAGAAUCACCUGAAAAUCUCCAGAAAAAUAUAUACAAAUUGCAUUUUUCUCAGUCUUUUUUUUUGUCACCACCAGCUUGUGGAAGGGUAAAUAACAAACAUAUUUAGGAGAAUAAAAAGAAUUAUAUAUUCAUGCUUCCUGUUACAACCUCCUUUGCUUACAUACCAAAGAGAAAUUAGGACAAUUACUAUUUACUUUUCUACUUCAUGCCUUAUUCUAUAACCAACAUAAAUCCUGAAAAUUUGCCUAUGAGCAUCUUUUAAAAUUAAAUAUACCAUUGUGCCCCAGUUAAUGAUUCUUUGCCACAAAAUUUAAAUAAUUAAAUUGAUAGCCCGCAAAUGUAUCAACUUGUUUGGCUGAGUUCAAAAUUUGAAGUAGCAGUCUGCAGCAAAUCUUUCAGCUUUAUGUAGUGCUCUUUCAGGUUAGGUAUAAGAAUAUAAAUGGUUUAUUCUGAGAAUCUAACACUAACAUUAUUAUUAGCUCAUUCAACUUGUGAAUACAGGGGUUUGCUUUAAUGCCUUCAAAAUAAUGUAAAUAUAAUUUAUAUCAUAUGUAAUUCAUUAACUAUGGUUUUUAUGACUGAUUUCAUCAUCAUGUAGAAAAGCUGCAAUAGAAUAUUGUGAAUUCAGGACCUCCUGAGAAAAUUGGUCAUAAAUUUAUUAUUUUAAAAUAUAAGAGCAAUGAUUUUAUAUGUAUAUAUAUAUACAUAGUUGGCCAGGCAUGGUGGCUCAUGCCUGUAAUCUCAGCACUUUGGGAGGCUAAGAUGAGUAGAUCACUUAAGGUCAGGACUUUGAGACCAGCCUGGCCAACGUGGUAACACCCCAUCUGUAUUAAUCUGUUUUUACUCUGGUGAUAAAGACAUACCUGAGACUGGGCAAUUUAGAAAGGAAAGAGGUUUAAUUGGACUUACAGUUUCACGUGGUGGAAGAAACCGCACAAUCAUGGCAGAAGGCAAAGAGGAGCAAGUCACGUCUUACAUAAAUGGCAGCAGGCAAAGAGAGAGCUUGUGCAUGGAUACUCUGCCUUAUAAAGCCAUCAGAUCUCGUGAGAAUUAUUCACUAUCAUGAGAACAGUGCAGGAAAGACCCUCCCCUGUAAUUCAAUCACCUCCCUCCAGGUUCCUCCCACAACAUGUGGGAAUUCAAAAUGAGAUUUUGUUGGGGAUACAGCCAGACCGUACCACCGUAUAUACCAAAAAUACACAAAUAAGCCAGGUGUGGUGGCAUGUGCCUAUAGUCUCGGCUACUCGGGAGGCUAAGGCAGGAGAAUUGCUUAAAUCCCGGAGGCAGAGGUUUCGGUGAGCCAAGAUAGCACCACUGAACUCCAGCCUGGGCGACCAAAAAAAAAAAAAAAAAAGAGAUAUAUAUAUACGCUUGCUUGAUGUAUAUAUUUGAAGCAUCCCAACACUGUGUAUCACUCAACUUAGGCAUAAGUCAUUUUCUCAUAAAUAUAUUUUCUACAUUAAAGUACUUCUGCAAAAAAUAUUCAGAAAUAUGGAUAAUUAUGUUUAUUAAUGUUGAAUGUAUUCUAUGAUGAAAUUGAUGAGCUUUUUAUUUUGACUUCCCUACAAGAAAACAGCCUGGUAAUUUUCUGAAACAUAGUACAAUUCACAAAUACUAGUCUCCUAGAAAGUUCCCCCAUUGUAUGUGGUAAAAAAUUACUAAUUAAGUUUAUAUUUGCUUCUGCCUAUGUGUCUGAAUUUAUCAUAUUUAAUAUUUAUAAUAGCCCUACAAUCCAUGAUAAAAUAUGCCAUAGAAAAUACGUACAGCAACAUCAAAAUCUAAGAUGACUGAUAUACAUGGCAGAACUCUUAUUUUUUUUUAUUUUUUUACCCUUCUGCUAAUGAUCCUAAUUUGAAAUCCCCACGCCAAGAGAGGAACCUGAUGGAACGUGAUUGGAUCAUGGUGGCAGUUUCCCCAAUGCUGCUCUCAUGACAGUGAGUGAGUUUUCACAAGAUCUGGUGGUUUAACAGGGUUUUGCAGUUUCCCCCCGCCCUCCUGCUGCCAUGUAAGACUGCCUUGCUUCCCCGUCACCUUCCGCCAUAAUUUUAAGUUUCCCAACGCCUCCCCAGCCAUGCAGAACUGUGGGUCAACUAAAUGUCUUUUGUUUACAAAUUACCCAGUCUCAGGUAGUUCUUUAUAGCAGUGUGAAAACAGGCUAAUACCGGCCGUUUGUAAAUUCUAGGGCUUUGUCCUGUUCCAGGCACAGAAUAUUAUUCUAUAGGAGGUCUCUGGAGUGAUUUACUUGGUAAAGAAUAAUUGGACAUGAUUAUUGUUGAGAAUCUUUCCCAUGCAAUAUAAAGGGAAGUGUGGGAUGGGUUUUGAUUUGUUGUUGUUUCUUUCUUUUCCUGUUUUUGGCAAUUUAUUUUUAUGUUACUGAGGAAGCCAAAAUAGAAAUAUUCCCUUUUUUAAGUGGAAAUGUUUUUAUACUGGUAGAUGCAGUUAUCAGUAUAUGAUGCUUAUCACUACUGAAGUCUAAAGGGGGAGGCAGGUGUGUCACAAAGAUUAGCUGUGUGGUAUUGCGUGACUUCAGAGUUAACUGUGUAACUAUUCAGCCUCUGCCUUCAUUGUUUCAGAGUAUUUUAAUGACUUUUCAUCAUUCACUGAAUGUUAUUAAUUAUGUAAAUUUUAACAUAUUACAUUAAUAGAAGUAUAUGAAUCUCCUGUUAAUAAUAUACAUUUCUAGCAAUAGAAUUAUUUACUAGCUGUUAUUUAUUACAUAGAAGAGUAGGAAAUCUUAAAAUGUUGAUAUCUAAAAUUAUUAAUGUCAUAAAAAAUAUUUAGUGAAAAGGCACAAAUCAAAACCACAAAAAAUAUACGCCUUAUUCCCAUAAUUAUAGAAUUACAGUUUCUCUUUCUUCUCUCUUUUUGACUCUGUCUCUUUGUCUCCCAUAUGAUAUGUUUCCUCAACUGAUGUGCAUUUGAUAUUAUCUUAAAGCCAGAAGUUCAUACAAAUCUAAAUUUCUCUCUAAAAUAAAACUACAUAAAAAUUGAGCAUGCUGAAUAAUAGUCCCAUUGUCUUAAUUAAAUUUCACUAAAUCAAAAUGUUCACAGAGAGUGGGCUUGAAAUAAACACUUAAAAUAUACUCUAUUUAAAAAAAUCAUUCAUGCUUACUGUUAAAUACCAUAAUGUAUCAUCAUUUUUAUAUCACAGAAGCAGAGACAGAACAUUUUUGUUGUUGAUGUAAGAAAAUGUUCAAUUCUGUGAGAAAUAA